rnacentral:rRNA from 1 species
CAUGUGGUUUAAUUCGAUGAUACGCGAGGAACCUUACCUGGGCUAGAACGCAUUCGGAAUCAGGCCGAAAGGCCUGCGCCAGCGAUGGCCGCUUGCGAGGUGCUGCAUGGUUGUCGUCAGCUCGUGCCGUGAGGUGUCGGGUUAAGUCCCAUAACGAGCGCAACCCCUACUGCUAGUUGCCAGCGGGUCAUGCCGGGGACUCUAGCGGAACUGCCAGCGUAAGCUGCGAGGAAGGUGGGGAUGACGUCAAAUCAGCACGGCCCUUACGUCCAGGGCUACACACGUGUUACAAUGGCCGGUACAGAGGGCAGCCACCCCGCGAGGGGGCGCGAAUCCCGAAAGCCGGUCCCAGUUCGGAUCGGAGUCUGCAACCCGACUCCGUGAAGCUGGAUUCGCUAGUAAUCGCGCAUCAGCCACGGCGCGGUGAAUACGUUCCCGGGCCUU